UACCGUCUGGUUUAUGGUGUUUUAACAGAGGGCAUAGCACAGAAGAUUGUGACUGAUUAUGAAACUGUAUUGCAUACAAGGCAUGUGAGAGUACGAGAAAUUGUUUCCUUCACAGGCAGAUACCAUGUAGUUAAUGCAUUUUUUGCUAUUCUAGAGGCGCCUUUGUAUUAUAGAAACUUAGAGCGCGAUAAGUUUAGAGGUCAUGGGGAUAUUAAUGACUUUGAUAAAGGUACAUAUUUGAGUAAUGGAAGUAAGGAGGAGUUAAAACUGUGGAUAACUAUUGUGGUCUCUGGAAAUGGAAAGACUAUAAGGCAAAAGGAUAUUUUGUUUCACUUAGCAACUGAUGCCUCUAUGGAAGGAUGGGUUUGUUAUGUUGCAGAUAUAGUGAACAAUAUGCAUAUGGUAGAUGGAGUUAAGAAUAGUUCAGGUUACUGAGACAUCUGGACCUAUUGUUUCAUCCGCACAGCAGCAUGGUGCAUCCUCUCAUUCAUUCAUUGAAGAUGGUCGUGGUGACUAUAUCCGGCAAUCAUUGUCGAGUUGGGGAGUUUCACAAAGAACUGCAGAAAUUGCCCUGUCAGCCUAUAUACCAUGGACAAGGAAUCAAUAUCGUUUGACCUGGAAAAAGUGGUAUUUAUGGUGUGGUUCAAAGGCUUUACAGUCCCUUUCAAAUGACUGAAGGUGUAGUGGUGUAUGACCUCCAUGAGGAUUAGAAAUCCUAUUUAGUGUUAAAUACUCAUUAUGAAAUGCUAUUACAAUGGUUACAUUUGGUGUUCCAAUAUAUUUUUUAUAACUAAAUUUAUGUAGGAAUAUUUAAUAUUUGGCCAGUUCUUCCUAGAUAUAUAUAUUCACAUGGAGUGUGAGUACUGUUCUCAAAUUUUAUGGUCUUUGUAUCCAUUAAAUAAACUGACUAUGAAAAUGAUGACACUUUAGGUGUCUGCUUUAAUAGCAUUAUCCUGCGUCCCAGGGCUUAGACUUAAGUGUUACUUAACACACUUAGGCUAUAUGAAGACAAGUAAUAAUAAUGUGUGUUUUGUGUUUCCUAAUCAUCUCAUAAACACUAAUAAGCAUAAUAAUUAUCUGUUAGUUUUAGAAAAUUUCAUUAUGAGAAAUUGUAUGUUAUGCAUACCGUGUUGUUUUAUGUAAAAUGUACUGAAGCCUUUAGAAAGCCUUUAGAAAUGUAUAUUUUUUGUUAGUGUUUUAUGUAACCUAUGAGACAGUUACCACUUGUACUGCGGAUAGAUGGCUAAGGAAAGUCUUACAACUUCUGGUAUAGACAUUGGUAUUUUUAAGGCUUGUGUGUUUACAUCUGCAGCUACUUCUGCAGCAUAUAAUAAAGGAUGAUCCUUCGUGGGCAUUUUUCAAAACUCCAGACUGGAAAUUUGACAAGAAUUUUUAUAACUGGAGUAGAUAAAUCAGUGUCAAUUAAUGACGCUGUGUUAGGUAGUUAAUAAUUAUUAUUUUAAACUAGUAAUGAAAUGUGUUGAUGAAGAUUGCAUAUCCAAAAUGUUGUGUUGAUGUGUUUUAACAGGGUUGAAUCUCCUGUGAAAAUGUCUGUAGUGUUACAUCCAUAAAUGAUUGAUAAUGAUAGUUAUGAUGGAAGUCUUUAGUAAAAGAUACUCGCCGUUGUUAUUGUUUGUGUUCGGUUUUGUUGCUAGAUUUAAAGAUGCUAAGUAUACAUGUGAAAGCCGGAGGCUUUACGGAAAAUAAUGAUCCAUCAUCCAAGCUUUAGUGAAGGAUGAUGGGCAUUAUUUGAGUAAAGCCGGAGGCUGAGCAUGUAUACUCCCACCCUUCUUUAUGAAAUUAUAUUAUGUAUUCUGAGAAUAUAAUUUAAUAUAUGGCUUUUCGGUU